CAGGAAGAUUAUGAAAGUGAAAGUGACAUACUAGAUUAAUCUGUUACAGACAAGUCGUGUGAAAGAACUGGGUUUACACUACAUCAUGGGCUGGAGAGAGAUGUGAAGAGCUGCCCAUUCUGCUUCCAUCAUCAUGGAGGGGAGGAAAGGAAGAUGGAAAGAUUUCACCAUUCUUACAGCAUCUAGACUUUGAUGAUUAAUUUCAUCUGUGACCCUACCCAGGCCAUGGAGUCACCAAAUUAAGCAUUACUUAUAGAUAAGUGUAUUCUUCAUUUUCAUCAAGGAAACUUCUCCAUGAAACAGACUAAGACUACUACAGAGUGGUGGAGCCCAGUUCCAGUGGUUAUAUCUACAAACACUCUCACAUGCAGGCAUCAGGGAACAUCGUGGAAGAGGGAUGGAAAGACUGUAAGAGCCAGAGAACCAGCAAAUUGGCUGAGAGAUUGUGUCUCCAGUUAUUUGUGUCUAAAUACCAUCCUGCACUAAAAGGAAAACAGUUGUUUCUAGGAGAAAUGGCUGAUU